CCCUUAGAUGUUCUGGGCCGCACGCGUGCUACACUGAGUGGAUCAGCGGGUCAGGUUGCGCGAAAGCGUUUCCUAAUCUUUAAAUCCGCUCGUGAUGGGGAUUGACGGUUGCAAUUUUUUGUCAUGAACGAGGAAUACCUUGUAAGCGCGGGUCAUCAUCCCGCGCUGAAUACGUCCCUGCCCUUUGUACACACCGCCCGUCGCUCCUACCGAUUGAGUGGUCCGGUGAGGCUUUGGGAUCUGAGCGGAAAGAGCGUUUCGCUGUUUCUGCUCGGAAAACUCAGUCGAACCUUAUCAUUUAGAGGAAGGAGAAGUCGUAACA
rnacentral:rRNA from 1 species